GAGUUUGAUCAUGGCUCAGAUUGAACGCUGGCGGCAUGCCUUACACAUGCAAGUCGAACGGCAGCACGGGAGCUUGCUCCUGGUGGCGAGUGGCGAACGGGUGAGUAAUGCAUCGGAACGUAUCCUGGAGUGGGGGAUAACGUAGCGAAAGUUACGCUAAUACCGCAUAUUCUGUGAGCAGGAAAGCGGGGGACCUUCGGGCCUCGCGCUCUUGGAGUGGCCGAUGUCGGAUUAGCUAGUUAGGUGAGGUAAAGGCUCACCAAGGCGACGAUCCGUAGCAGGUCUGAGAGGAUGAUCUGCCACACUGGAACUGAGACACGGUCCAGACUCCUACGGGAGGCAGCAGUGGGGAAUUUUGGACAAUGGGGGCAACCCUGAUCCAGCCAUGCCGCGUGAGUGAAGAAGGCC
rnacentral:rRNA from 1 species